GGCUCGUUAGCUCAGUGGUCAGAGCAUCCAAACUUUACAAACUGGAGGUCGUAGGUUCGAAUCCUGCAUGAGCCC